GACGUAGGGCGCAAGCGUUGUCCGGAAUCAUUGGGCGUAAAGAGCGUGUAGGCGGUCCGAUAAGUCCGCUCUGAAAGCCCGGGGCUCAACCCCGGGAGGCGGGCGGAUACUGUCGGGCUAGAGUCCGGAAGAGGCAAGUGGAAUUCCUGGUGUAGCGGUGAAAUGCGCAGAUAUCAGGAGGAACACCGAUGGCGAAGGCAGCUUGCUGGGACGGUACUGACGCUGAGACGCGAAAGCGUGGGGAGCAAACAGG
rnacentral:rRNA from 1 species